GAUUCCUACGGGGCGCAGCAGUGAGGAAUAUUGGUCAAUGGGCGAGAGCCUGAACCAGCCAAGUCGCGUGAAGGAUGACGGCCCUACGGGUUGUAAACUUCUUUUGUCAGGGAGCAAUUGGGUCCACGCGUGGGCUUAGCGAGAGUACCUGAAGAAAAAGCAUCGGCUAACUCCGUGCCAGCAGCCGCGGUAAUACGGAGGAUGCGAGCGUUAUCCGGAUGUAUUGGGUUUAAAGGGUGCGUAGGCGGAAUAUCAAGUCAGAGGUAGAAAUGCGGGGCUCAACCCCGUCGUGCCGUUGAAACUGA
rnacentral:rRNA from 1 species